ACCUUUGGAAAUCCUUUUCAAAAUGGUUUGACUCUAAAAACUGAUCCACGAACAGAGAUUUCGGUUAAGGAAUUCUGUUGACCGAGGGAAAGGUGUUAGGCACCCCUUGGUCCCGUGGUUCAACUACAGUCUCUUCGUGGAGUAUAUCAACUAGUACGACACUAUGAAUAUAUAAGCCACAUUAAACACACAAAACAAUCAAACAAACAAAUAAACAAAACAAGUUCAAAAAUAUAGUGUCUAGUCCAAUUAUUACAGUCCAAAAUAAAAGAUACUUAAAUGAAACUACGCUAACCUACACUAUUCCUAAACUAUGCUCUACCCAAUGCCUCGGGCCUUGACCACGAUCAUCUUUCGCCAACAUAAUACGUCGAGGUAUUCUCCAGUGAAUAAAUACAAUGAGCCUCGGGGCAUUUUCCGGCUAAAUGAAUACAUUUAAUGAAAUGAAAUAAAAAUGGAGAAAUCACUCAACAUAAACAUUUACACAUUUGAUGAUUAGAAUCUUACGAGUUGCCUACCCCAAAACCUAGAAUUCGCCUAUUGAUUUAAAGAUCUAAUCAUGAUACUAUCGUGUUCAACAACAUUCAUAUUUAAACCAAACUAAAAAAACAUCAAUAAAUCUAAAUUAAUCCAUGUUCACCUUUUUAUCCAUUUUUUCAUUUUCGUCCCCAAUUACAUUCACAAUCACAUGCAGUUACUCAAUUUUAAGAUAGCAAUCCAGGAAACGACACUCCACAUUAUUCAAAUAUACUCAAAACAUACCAACAAAUCACAAAAUCCACCACAUUUAAAUCACGCAAUCAAUAUCAAACACCAUAUUAAAAUAUAAAUGAAAGAAGAACAGAGUUGAUGAAUCAAACUUCAAUCAAUGAUUUUAUUUCGAUUAAACCGGAUUACUUGAUCGAGAAUCGUCAGACCUCAAUACAAAUCAAAACUCGACAAACUUUGAUCACGAACUCAGUUUAAUCACCAAAUCAGACCAAAAAAUAUUGAAAUAACGAACAAAUUUUACCUAAAUGGGAUUGGAAUCAGAAUUUCGCUGGAUUAUCUUUAUUUUCAUGGACUAACUGUAACUGUGUCGCUGACUUCCCAAUGGAUUUGAACUAUUUUGAAGAGUUUCCAGCAAGAUAUUUUAUUGCCGGAAAAGGAACAACAACAGUGGACUAUUUGGUCGGGUUUGGGGAUAUCAUCGGUGGUAUUUGGGUACUUUGGUCGGUGAUUUUUUGGUGGAGCCGUUUUGGUUGAAAAUGGCAGUGGGUUUGCAGUCGAACAGUGAUGGAGUUACGAUUCUGGCGAGAAUUCAUCGGAAAAUCUAUUCCUCUUCGAUUUUCUCUUCUUUUUCAACUUUCUAUGCUUGUCUUGAUCUCUCCCUCUCAUUGUUCUCUCUCGAUCUUCUUUCUUUGUCCGUUCAAUCUCUCUCGCUCAAUUCAUAGCAUUUUUGUGUGAGUUUAGUGUUGUUGUGUCAAUGAAAAAUAGAAAUAGUGAGGUGUGUCUCUAUCUAUAUGUAUCUGGUGGUGAGUGUGUGUAUAUAUCAAUGAGUGUAUUAGUGUUUUGUGAAAGAUUCUUCCCCCUCCCCUCAGCUUUCUCUAUUCCUCCAUUUUUAUAUAUCAGGUGUGUGUGAGUAUAUCCCCCUUUCUCUGAUGUGUGGUGUGUGUUUAUAUGUUUGGUGUAUGUGUGAUGUUUCUAUAAGUGCUUUGUAUGUAUAUUGAUGCAUGUGUGUAUGUAUAUGUGAUAGUGUAUAUGAAUAAUGUGUGCGUAUAUGGUCCCAAUUCUCUUUUGUGAGAGUGUUCAGCUACGUAUGUUAGUGUGGUCCCUGGAAUUGUGGAGUAUGUGGGUAUGUAUAUGUGUGUGUUAAUAUAAUAGUGAGUGGGUUUUUUAGUGUGUAUGUAAGGUGUGUGUUCUGUGUGUUUAUUAUUCUUUGAAUGAUGUAUUAAUGGUGAGAGUAUUUUUGGUGUGAUCUCUUUUU
rnacentral:lncRNA from 1 species